CCUACGGGAGGCAGCAGUGGGGAAUUUUGGACAAUGGGCGCAAGCCUGAUCCAGCAAUGCCGCGUGAGUGAAGAAGGCCUUCGGGUUGUAAAGCUCUUUUGUCAGGGAAGAAACGGUGAGAGCUAAUAUCUCUUGCUAAUGACGGUACCUGAAGAAUAAGCACCGGCUAACUACGUGCCAGCAGCCGCGGUAAUACGUAGGGUGCAAGCGUUAAUCGGAAUUACUGGGCGUAAAGCGUGCGCAGGCGGUUUUGUAAGUCUGUCGUGAAAUCCCCGGGCUCAACCUGGGAAUUGCGAUGGAGACUGCAAGGCUAGAAUCUGGCAGAGGGGGGUAGAAUUCCACGUGUAGCAGUGAAAUGCGUAGAGAUGUGGAGGAACACCGAUGGCGAAGGCAGCCCCCUGGGUCAAGAUUGACGCUCAUGCACGAAAGCGUGGGGAGCAAACAGGAUUAGAUACCCUGGUAGUCCACGCCCUAAACGAUGUCUACUAGUUGUCGGGUUUUAAUAACUUGGUAACGCAGCUAACGCGUGAAGUAGACCGCCUGGGGAGUACGGUCGCAAGAUUAAAACUCAAAUGAAUUGAGG
rnacentral:rRNA from 1 species